UACGGAGGAGGCAAGCGUUAUCCGGAAUUACUGGGCGUAAAGAGUUGCGUAGGUGGCAAAGUGUGUCAGUAGUGAAAGCGUGUGGCUCAACCACAUAUACAUUACUGAAACUGCUUAGCUAGAGGACGAGAGAGGUACCUGGAAUUCCCAGUGUAGGAGUGAAAUCCGUAGAUAUUGGGAGGAACACCGAUGGCGUAGGCAGGGUACUGGCUCGUUCCUGACACUAAGGCACGAAAGCGUGGGGAGCAAACGGG
rnacentral:rRNA from 1 species